CUGUGGUAGUCGAAACUGCGCGAGAGAGUCAGCGAUACGCGCAAAAGACAGACUUUUAUUAAGCUGAGAAGCAUUUGAAAAAUAAACACAAAUUCUUUUAGAAAAGAGGAGAAGUCAAACCAGUUUCAGAGAAGAGAAAAAGAUAACAAGAAUAUUUCAGUGAAUUGUUGGCCAUCGGUUCAGUAUGACGUCAAUAUGAAUGGAGUAAUAAUUUGAAUGUUGAAAGAAACCGAUACAGACGAAUACUUGCCGUUUGUUGACCAAAGUGGAGUGUAAAAUUGUAUAAAGGGGUUUUAAUUUAUUGAUAGAAGAGGAGAUUCUGACUACAAAGAUUUAAAAGAAGUUUUAAGUUUUUGAGGUGUAAUAUUUUUUUCGGAUAUAACGCUGUUGAGAAACCUUCUGAUUCACAUAUCAACGUAAUUUUUUGCUCAAAAUCAAAUUAUUGAAUAAAAUCACUUUAUAACUUGUAGAUUCUGAUAUUUUUCAAAAUGCUGUAUUUCGCAAGUUUGAAGUGGUCCCGAAAUCUCGUCACAACACGAGAAAUUGAUUCGAUUUUAAUUUUCGUAUAUUCGGAAAUAUUAUCGUCAUUUAAUAAAAUUAUUUCACCCCAACUUGA